rnacentral:tRNA from 1 species
GGGGGUUUAGCUCAGUGUAGAGCAUUUGCUUAACACGCAGGAAGCCCAGGAUUCAACCCCCAGUACCUCCA